AGAGAGAGACAUGCGCGCAUAUCAAUAAGCGGAGGAAAAGAAACUAACAAGGAUUCCCUUAGUAACGGCGAGUGAAGCGGGAAGAGCUCAAAUUUGAAAUCUUCAAGGUUUUACCUUGACGAAUUGUAGUUUAAAGAAGUGUUUUCUGCUGAAGCUUUGGUAAAAGUUCUUUGGAAGUAGGACAUCAUAGAGGGUGAGAAUCCCGUAUUUGACCAUUAUUUUCAGCUUUGUGAUACACUUUCAAAGAGUCGGAUUGUUUGGGAAUGCAGUCCAAAAUGGGUGGUAAAUUUCAUCUAAAGCUAAAUAUUGGCGAGAGACCGAUAGCGAACAAGUACCGUGAGGGAAAGAUGAAAAGAACUUUGAAAAGAGAGUUAAACAGUACGUGAAAUUGUCAAAAGGGAAGCGUUUGACACCAGUGUUGUUUUCUCGAAAAUCAAUUAAAAAUGGCUCGAUUUUGUAUUGCUUGAGACCUUAAAAGCUCACUGUACAUUUUUCGUGUCUUUUUUAAUGCACUUUUCGUUUAACAAGUCAACAUCAGUUUCUUUUGUUGUAAAAGGGUCAUUGGAAGGUGGCCUUCUUUUCGGAGAAAGUGUUUAUAGCCUUUGGCCUCUGCAAUCGGAGAGACUGAGGUCUGCAGCGUAGACUCUUCGGGGUUAGAUACAUCUGUGCUAAGUUACUAGCUUUUUAUAGACAACUUGUUGACUAUAAUUAGUCUUGUAGCUUACUCGCUUAUGCUAUUUUACCUACGCUUAGGAUGUUGAAGAUGUAGCACAUCAU
rnacentral:rRNA from 1 species